rnacentral:rRNA from 1 species
GAUGAACGUUGGCGGCGUGCCUAAUACAUGCAAGUCGAGCGAAUGGAUUAAGAGCUUGCUCUUAUGAAGUUAGCGGCGGACGGGUGAGUAACACGUGGGUAACCUGCCCAUAAGACUGGGAUAACUCCGGGAAACCGGGGCUAAUACCGGAUAACAUUUUGAACCGCAUGGUUCGAAAUUGAAAGGCGGCUUCGGCUGUCACUUAUGGAUGGACCCGCGUCGCAUUAGCUAGUUGGUGAGGUAACGGCUCACCAAGGCAACGAUGCGUAGCCGCCCUGGAAGGGUGAUCGGCCACACUGGGACUGAGACACGGCCCAGACUCCUACGGGAGGCAGCAGUAGGGAAUCUUCCGCAAUGGACGAAAGUCUGACGGAGCAACGCCGCGUGAGUGAUGAAGGCUUUCGGGUCGUAAAACUCUGUUGUUAGGGAAGAACAAGUGCUAGUUGAAUAAGCUGACACCUUGACGGUACCUAACCAGAAAGCCACGGCUAACUACGUGCCAGCAGCCGCAGUAA